UACGGGGGGAGCAAGCGUUGUUCGGAUUUACUGGGCGUAAAGGGCGCGUAGGCGGCCACCGCAAGUCGACUGUGAAAUCUCCGGGCUUAACUCGGAGAGGUCAGCCGAUACUGCGGGGCUAGAGUGCAGAAGGGGCAACUGGAAUUCUCGGUGUAGCGGUGAAAUGCGUAGAUAUCGAGAGGAACACCUGCGGCGAAGGCGGGUUGCUGGGCUGACACUGACGCUGAUUGUGCGAAAGCUAGGGGAGCGAACGGG
rnacentral:rRNA from 1 species